rnacentral:lncRNA from 1 species
CCCAAGUAGAUUCAGAAACAACAAUAGACUUCUAUUACUAUAUACUGGCAAUAAUAACCACACAGCUAACAUAUUACUUACUAUGUUUGUGUCCCAAAUAGAACCCUAUUCUCUACAUAGUGCACCCUAUGGGCCCUGGUCAAAAGAAGUGCUCUAUAUAGGGAAUAGGGUGUCAUUUGAGACACAUUCUAUAUAUAUAUAUUUCCAUAUACGGGGCAAUUUUUAUGCUGCUAUAAUGACUUGGCUGGUGAAAGCCUGCAUGGCUAACUGAUGACUUACUUCUACAAUAUUUAUAGGUAUAGUUUUACUUCUCAUUUCCCAUUUUUUGGCAAUUUCAAGCAUCGUUUACCCACCGACCAACUGCACUAACCAUUACAGCAUUUAUAUAUUUCUUUCCAGAGAUGGCAUGUUGGAAGAGGUUAUAGGAGUGUGUGUGUGUGUGUGUGCCUGCUCCCAUGUGUGCUGUUUGUGUGUGUGUGCCUGUUUGUGUGUGUCUGCUCCCAUGUUUGCGUGUGCGCGUGUGCCUGCUCCCAUGUGUGCCUGUUUGCGGUGUGUCUGCUCCCAUGUGUGCCUCUGCCUGUUCCUGCUUGUGCUCCCAUGUGUGCAAGUGAGUGAGUGACAGAAUUUGUCGUAUUUACAUUUUUUUUUUUACAGACACACUUAUCCAGAGUGACAUAAAGGAGCUAUUACGGUUAAGUGCCAUGCUCAUGGGCACAUCGCCAGAUUUUUCACCUAGUCGGCUCGGGGAUUCGAACCAGCGGACCUUUCCGUUACUGGCCUAACGCUCUUAACCCCUAGGCUAUCUGCCUCCCCCCAGUGUUCCGUACUCCUCCAUGGUUACAGCAGGCAGGUUACUAGGGAGAGGGUCUGGUCAGCCCAACACUCAGGCCAGCACUCAGGCCAGCACUCAGGCCAGCACUCAGGUCAGCACUCAGGCCAGCCCUCAGGCCAGCCCUCAGGCCAGCCCUCAGGCCAGCCCUCAGGUCAACACUAACCUACCAUUAACCCAACACUUGUUUUGGCUCUAUACUCCAGCACUUAGAAAUGGUGUUGUGUGUUCCUUUCAAACAACUCAACUGUAGUUUCAUCUGUCCACAGAAUAUUUGUCAGUAGCGCUGUGGAACAUCCAAGUGCUCUUUUGUAAACUUCAGACGUGCAGCAAUGUUUUUUUGGGGGACAGCAGUGGCUUCUUCUGUGGUGUCCUCCCAUGAACACCAUUCUUGUUUAGUGUUUUACGUAUCGUAGACUCGUCAACAGAGAUGUUAACAUGUUCCAGAGAUUUCUGUAAGUCUUUAGCUGACACUCUAGGAUUCUUCUUUACCUCAUUGAGCAUUCUGCGCUGGGCUCUUGCAAUCAUCUUUGCAGGACUGCCACUCCCAGGGAGAGUAGCAACAGUGCUGAACUUCCUCCAUUUAUAAGGCUUUUAGAGAUACUUUUGUAUCCCUUUCCAGCUUUAUGCAAGUCAACAAUUCUUAAUCUUGGGUCUUCUGAGAUCUCUUUUGUUCGAGGCAUGGUUCACAUCAGUCAAUGCUUCUUGUGAAUAGCAAACUCAAGUUUUGUGAGUGUUUUUUAAAGGGCAGGGCAGCUCUAACCAACAUCUCCAAUCUCAUCUCGUCUCAUUGGUUGGACUCCAGGUUAGCUGACUCCUGACUCCAAUUAGCUUUCGGAGAAGUCAUUAGCCUAGGGAUUCACAUACUUUUUCCAACCUACACUGUGAAUGUUUAAAUGAUGUAUUGAUAAAAGAAUGUAUAUGUUUAAAGAUAAUAAUUAAAUAAUUCUACCCUGAAACUUAACUAUUA